rnacentral:rRNA from 1 species
UGAGGAAUAUUGGACAAUGGGCGCAAGCCUGAUCCAGCCAUGCCGCGUGCAGGAUGACGGUCCUAUGGAUUGUAAACUGCUUUUGUACAGGAAGAAACAGUUCUACGUGUAGAACCUUGACGGUACUGUAAGAAUAAGGAUCGGCUAACUCCGUGCCAGCAGCCGCGGUAAUACGGAGGAUCCAAGCGUUAUCCGGAAUCAUUGGGUUUAAAGGGUCCGUAGGCGGUUAGAUAAGUCAGUGGUGAAAGCCCAUCGCUCAACGGUGGAACGGCCAUUGAUACUGUCUGACUUGAAUUAUUAGGAAGUAACUAGAAUAUGUAGUGUAGCGGUGAAAUGCUUAGAGAUUACAUGGAAUACCAAUUGCGAAGGCAGGUUACUACUAAUGGAUUGACGCUGAUGGACGAAAGCGUGGGUAGCGAACAGGAUUAGAUACCCGACGUAGUCCCUGAGCGGGCUGGCAAGGCGCAU